GAUGAACGCUGGCGGCGUGCCUAAUACAUGCAAGUCGAGCGAACGGACGCGAAGCUUGCUUCUCUGUUGUUAGCGGCGGACGGGUGAGUAACACGUGGAUCAUCUACCUAUCAGACUGGGAUCACCACGGAACACCGGAGAUAAUACCGGAUAAUAUCUUGCACCGCAUGGGUCAAUAGUGAAAGACGGUGUUUCUGUCACUUAUAGAUGCAUCUGCGCUGCAUUAGCUAGUUGGUAAGUUAACGGCUUACCAAGGCAACUAUGCAUAGCCGACCUGAGAGAGUGGUCGCCCGCACGAGAACGGGACCGCGGUCCAGGCGCCUACGGUAGGCAGCAGAAUGGUACCGGCGGCAGAGGGCGGAAGCCUGACGGAAUGGCGCCGCGUGAGAGAUGAAGGUCUUCGGAUCGUAAAACUCUGUUACGAGUGAAGAACAGAUGUGUAAGGAACUGUAGACAUCGUGACGGUACCUAAUCAGAAAGCCACGGCUAACUACGUG
rnacentral:rRNA from 1 species